rnacentral:rRNA from 1 species
AUUGAACGCUGGCGGCAUGCCUUACACAUGCAAGUCGAACGGCAGCACGGACUUCGGUCUGGUGGCGAGUGGCGAACGGGUGAGUAAUGUAUCGGAACGUACCAUUGAGUGGGGGAUAACGUAGCGAAAGUUACGCUAAUACCGCAUAUUCUCUCCGGAGGAAAGGAGGGGACCGCAAGGCCAUGCGCUCUUUGACCGGCCGAUAUCAGAUUAGCUAGUUGGUGGGGUAAAAGCUCACCAAGGCGACGAUCUGUAGCGGGUCUGAGAGGAUGAUCCGCCACACUGGAACUGAGACACGGUCCAGACUCCUACGGGAGGCAGCAGUGGGGAAUUUUGGACAAUGGGGGCAACCCUGAUCCAGCCAUGCCGCGUGAGUGAAGAAGGCCUUCGGGUUGUAAAGCUCUUUCGGCCGGGAAAAAAUCGCAUGGAUUAAUACUCUGUGUGGAUGAUGGUACCGGAAUAAGAAGCACCGGCUAACUACGUGCCAGCCGCCGCGGUAACAC